CUUGUCGAGAUGGAGUGAAAUCAGCGCUGUAGCCAGGGAGAUACAGCGCGUAUGUGCCUUGCCAGUGUGGAUGUGGACAGGCAGUAAGUUACAGUGCUAUAAAGUCACCCACCAGCACUGUAACUCUCCAGUGUAGCCAAGCCCUGAGCACAUAGGCCCCUU